CGCUGGCGGCGCGCCUAAUACAUGCAAGUCGAGCGAGAAGGUGUAGCAAUACACUUGUAAAGCGGCGAACGGGUGAGGAAUACAUGGGUAAUCUACCAUCGAGUGGGGAAUGACCAGCCGAAAGGUUGGCUAAUACCGCGUACGCUUCCGAGUCUUCGGGCUUGGAAGGAAAGCCGCACUGUGAGUGCGGCGCUCUUUGAUGAGCUCAUGUCCUAUCAGCUUGUUGGUAGGGUAACGGCCUACCAAGGCUUUGACGGGUAGCUGGUCUGAGAGGACGAUCAGCCACACUGGCACUGCGACACGGGCCAGACUCCUACGGGAGGCAGCAGUAAGGAAUAUUGCGCAAUGGGCGAAAGCCUGACGCAGCGACGCCGCGUGGGGGAUGAAGGUCUUCGGAUUGUAAACCCCUUUCGGGAGGGAAGAUGGAGCGAGCAAUCGUUCGGACGGUACCUCCAGAAGCAGCCACGGCCAACUUCGUG
rnacentral:rRNA from 1 species